CACUGACAUUAGAUACCCGGGUAGUCCCAGCCGUGAACAAUGUGCGUUAGGUGUGUCGGUAACCACGCGUUACUGAUGCGCCGAAGAGAAAUCGUGAAACGCACCACCUGGGAAGUACGGUCGCAAGGCUGAAACUUAAAGGAAUUGGCGGGGGAGCACCACAACAGGUGGAGCCUGCGGUUUAAUUGGAUUCAACGCCGGACACCUCACCGGAUAAGACAGCUGAAUGAUUGUCAAUCUGAAGGUUUUACAUGACUAGCUG
rnacentral:rRNA from 1 species